CCUACGGGAGGCAGCAGUCGAGAAGCUUCGGCAAUGGGCGAAAGCCUGACCGAGCGACGCCGCGUGAGCGAUGAAGGCCCUAGUGGUUGUAAAGCUCUGUCAGAUUGGGAAUAAAUGCCGGGGGCGAAUAACCCCCGGAGCUGACGGUACCAUCAGAGGAAGCACCGGCUAACUCCGUG
rnacentral:rRNA from 1 species